rnacentral:rRNA from 1 species
UACGAAGGGGGCUAGCGUUGCUCGGAAUUACUGGGCGUAAAGCGCACGUAGGCGGCUUUCUAAGUCGGGGGUGAAAUCCUGGAGCUCAACUCCAGAACUGCCUUCGAUACUGGAGAGCUUGAGUCCGGGAGAGGUGAGUGGAACUGCGAGUGUAGAGGUGAAAUUCGGUAGAAUAUUCGCAAGAACACCAGUGGCGAAAGGCGCCUG